AGCAGCCGCGGUAAUUCCAGCUCCAAUAGCGUAUAUUAAAGUUGUUGCAGUUAAAAGCUCGUAGUUGAAUUUCGAGAUCAAUUUAUUGGUCGUGCUAUUGUACGUACUGGUAUUAUUGAUUCCUACCUUCUGACGAACCAUGAUGUCAUUAAUUUGGUGUCAUGGGGAAUCAGGACUGUUACUUUGAAAAAUUGAGUGUUUAAAGCAGGCUCAUGCUUGAAUACAUUAGCAUGGAAUAACGAAAUAGGACGUUUGAUUCUAUU
rnacentral:misc_RNA from 1 species